CCUACGGGAGGCAGCAGUGGGGAAUAUUGCGCAAUGGGCGAAAGCCUGACGCAGCGACGCCGCGUGAGGGAUGAAGGUCUUCGGAUCGUAAACCUCUGUCAGCAGGGAAGAACGGUCACUGUGCUAAUCAGCAGUGAAUUGACGGUACCUGCAAAGGAAGCAUCGGCUAACUCCGUGCCAGCAGCCGCGGUAAUACGGAGGAUGCGAGCGUUAUCCGGAUUCAUUGGGUUUAAAGGGUGCGCAGGCGGGCCUUUAAGCCGGCGGUGAAAUCGCGGGGCUCAACCCCGCCGAGCCGUCGGAACUGGGGGCCUUGAGUGCGGCGGAGGCAUGCGGAAUGCGCGGUGUAGCGGUGAAAUGCAUAGAUAUCGCGCAGAACCCCGAUUGCGAAGGCAGCGUGCCGUGCCGCCACUGACGCUGAGGCACGAAAGCGCGGGGAUCGAACAGGAUUAGAUACCCUUGUAGUC
rnacentral:rRNA from 1 species